ACCUUGCUACUCGGAUAUCCGUGGUAAUUCUAGAGCUAAUACGUGCUAAAAACCCCGACUUCGGAAGGGGUGUAUUUAUUAGAUAAAAAACCAAUGCCCUCCGGGGCUCCUUGGUGAUUCAUGAUAACUUCUCAGAUCGCAUGGCUAUACGCCGGCGACGGUUCAUUCAAAUUUCUGCCCUAUCAACUUUCGAUGGUAAGGUAGUGGCUUACCAUGGUUUCAACGGGUAACGGGGAAUUAGGGUUCGAUUCCGGAGAGGGAGCCUGAGAAACGGCUACCACAUCCAAGGAAGGCAGCAGGCGCGCAAAUUACCCAAUUCCGAUGCGGAGAGGUAGUGACAAUAAAUACUGAUACAGGGCUCUUUUGGGUCUUGUAAUUGGAAUGAGUACAAUUUAAACCUCUUAACGAGGAACAAUUGGAGGGCAAGUCUGGUGCCAGCAGCCGCGGUAAUUCCAGCUCCAAUAGCGUAUAUUAAAGUUGUUGCAGUUAAAAAGCUCGUAGUUGAACCUUUGGCCUGGCUGGCAGGUCCGCCUCACCGCGUGCACUUGACCGGCCGGGCCUUUUCUUCUGGAGAACCGCAUGCCCUUCACUGGGUGUGUUGGGGACCAGGACUUUUACUUUGAAAAAAUUAGAGUGUUCAAAGCAGGCCUUUGCUCGAAUACGUUAGCAUGGAAUAAUAGAAUAGGACGUGCGGUCCUAUUUUGUUGGUUUCUAGGACCGCCGUAAUGAUUAAUAGGGACAGUCGGGGGCAUCAGUAUUCAAUUGUCAGAGGUGAAAUUCUUGGAUUUAUUGAAGACUAACUACUGCGAAAGCAUUUGCCAAGGAUGUUUUCAUUAAUCAGUGAACGAAAGUUAGGGGAUCGAAGACGAUCAGAUACCGUCGUAGUCUUAACCAUAAACUAUGCCGACUAGGGAUCGGGCGGUGUUUCUAUUGUGACCCGCUCGGCACCUUACGAGAAAUCAAAGUG
rnacentral:rRNA from 1 species